CAGUCGCCGCGGGAAUACGGAGGGCGCGAGCGUUACCCGGAUUUACUGGGCGUAAAGGGCGUGUAGGCGGCCUGGGGCGUCCCAUGUGAAAGGCCACGGCUCAACCGUGGAGGAGCGUGGGAUACGCUCAGGCUAGAGGGUGGGAGAGGGUGGUGGAAUUCCCGGAGUAGCGGUGAAAUGCGCAGAUACCGGGAGGAACGCCGAUGGCGAAGGCAGCCACCUGGUCCACUUCUGACGCUGAGGCGCGGAAGCGUGGGUAGCAAACCGGAUUAGAUACCCCUGUAGUCCCUGUCUCUUAUAC
rnacentral:rRNA from 1 species